rnacentral:rRNA from 1 species
ACGAACGCUGGCGGCGUGCUUAACACAUGCAAGUCGAACGAUGAAGCCCUUCGGGGUGGAUUAGUGGCGAACGGGUGAGUAACACGUGGGCAAUCUGCCCUUCACUCUGGGACAAGCCCUGGAAACGGGGUCUAAUACCGGAUAACACUCCUCAGAGCAUUUUGAGGGGUUAAAAGCUCCGGCGGUGAAGGAUGAGCCCGCGGCCUAUCAGCUUGUUGGUGGGGUAAUGGCCUACCAAGGCGACGACGGGUAGCCG